AGGGCACCACCAGGAGUGGAGCCUGCGGCUUAAUUUGACUCAACACGGGAAAACUCACCCGGCCCGGACACCGUAAGGAUUGACAGAUUGAGAGCUCUUUCUUGAUUCGGUGGUUGGUGGUGCAUGGCCGUUCUUAGUUGGUGGAGCGAUUUGUCUGGUUAAUUCCGAUAACGAACGAGACUCUAGCCUACUAAAUAGACUGUUCAGCUUUAUAGCCGGAAUCACCGGGCAUGUAGCUCCUCGUGGGUUGCAUGUUCGGCUCUGGUGACGUUGGCAGUGCUUCUUAGAGGGACAGGCGGCGGUUCAGCCGCACGAAACAGAGCAAUAACGGGUCUGUGAUGCCCUUAGAUGUCCGGGGCUGCACGCGCGCUACACUGAAGUGAUCAGCGUGCAAUUUACGUUUGGUGAUCUGUCAAGAUUGCCCAACCCGUUGAACCUUCUUCGUGAUUGGGAUAGGGGAUUGUAAUUAUUCCCCUUGAACGAGGAAUUCCCAGUAAGCGCAAGUCAUAAGCUUGCGUU
rnacentral:rRNA from 1 species